UCCACGCAUAAUCUGUUGUCGUUGUCGUGUAGGCCGCGUUCACCUCCUUCUCUACCGCCUCCAUCUCCUCCUGCUCCGCCUUCUCUAGCUCAUCAUUUUGUCGUUGCAACAUUUUGAAACGGACGGCUUGCAUAAUCAUUCUUGCGUCAUCAUCCAAAUCCGUCACCUUCCAGGUCAACAUCUUUGCGUCCUCUGCAGCGGCUGCGAUUUUCACUCGUCCUCUUCAAGCAUAGCCUUCUUCUCUUUGAUCAUGGCCCUCUUUUCUUCGAGCUUGAGCGAUUUCUCGGUCGCCUAUAUCAACAAGUCAAACAUCUCCAAGUUUGUUGUUGUGGGCAAUUCUAUUCAACCCUUUUUAAUGAAUCGGGCCCUAAGGGACCACGUUUCAAAAAAAAAACAUACACACGAAGAAGAGUUUUUUUUUUGCUCGUUGUUGUUGAUCGGUGAUUUUAUUUUGGAUUUCGCUAGCUUUUGCGCCUUGCUGCAGAGAUUGAAGUGGGGAAUUAUUUAGUUACUUUCGCACGUGUGGACCAAAAAAUAAAAGGAAUAGCUUUGCCGCAGGAUUUAGGAUUACAUCCUCUUGGUUGUUCUUAUUAAUUUUGUUGCUGUUGUUGGCCGUGAGUUGGAGAGAGGACAACUGCCUCAGGUUUACCUUUAACGUGGCCACAUGCUUGCAUCCAUCCAUCCACUUCAGCUGACGCAAUCGGGUAAGACAUCGUAUCUCGCAGUUGCUGAGUCAUGUCGAAUUCAUUGCUGGAGUACUCUUUUCCCCGACCCCCGCGUCCCUCCUCGAGGUGACACGGGGGAACCCUCGAUUGACACCGCCGGCCGAGCCUCGUACCUUCCCUUCCCCUCGCCGCCGCUGAGGGCCGCUCCACGGCGCGACUCCCCACCCCAUGGCCUUGGCGCGUGGCUCUGUCUCCGGCGACGCUUGGUGACGUGGUGAUGCGAUUCGCGGCGGCGGCGGCCUGGCGCGGUGGCUGCGGGGGUGGUUUGAGCCCCGUCCGACGGUGCUGUCUGCGGCAGUGAUGGCCGCUGGUUUCGAUUCCACCCCGAUCCUCUUCUUUUGAUCUGGAUCUGGCCGGACCGUACUCGGUCGUGGCUGCCGGCAGGCAUGGUGACGCCAGGCCUCCAUGGCUGCCAGGCACGGUGGUGGUGCUAGCGGUUGCGUUGGGAGCUUGGUGUGGUGGUGGCCGACGACGGAGCACAGCGGGCGGCAUGGAGUUGUGACGGUCUUGGCGGGGUCUGGAGCGGUGUGGUGUGGUGCGACGGCUUGGUGGCGACGGCGCGUGCUGGAAGUGGCGGCGUGAACCACCGUCCAGAUUGGUGGAGGAGCUGCGAUGGCUCGACUAGGAUGGAGUUCCUGGCAAGCAGCGAGCGUCCGGGCCACCUCUGGGCUUGUGUGGUGAGCGACGGUGCUCUCCCGAUGGUGUCGGCGUGGGAGUUGUCCGCGGCUUGGUGUUGGAUCGCCGCAAGGCUGUCACUUGGAGCGCACGAUAGCCUUCAAUGGCGGUCCUGGCCUUUGCUGGAGGAGUUGGGUGGCUGCGAAUCCUUGGCCAGGUUGUAAGUGUUUGGUGGACGGUGUUUUUCCUGCUUUGCGGUCUGUCGGCGGCUCUUGGCUAUGCAGCUCCGACGGUGCGAAGCAUCUUGGAUGGUGCUGCCCAAUUCCUUCGAGGUGGUGAAAUGUGUGAUGUUCGGAUGAAAAAUCUUGCACGGCUCUUGCCGGGCCGGCGGCGAUGGCGCCCGUGGGUGUCGUUCCCCUCCUUGGAGGUGUUGCCGAGUGUAUUCGACAUUUCCCACGCUCAUAUGGAGUUGGUUGUUGUCUCCGGGCGAAAGCCUUGAUUCGGUCGGAUCGGCAUGAUGGCGGCGUACUUGACGUCGUCCCUCUAUUGAGAGCAUCGUGUUUGGAGACAUGGCCUGGUUCCUUGUUGCUCUCCUCCAGUGAUUAUCGGCGGCGCUAUGCACGGCUGUCGUCGGUGCGUCCAGGACGGUGUUUUCCUCGGAUCGGAUCAAGUCCUGCCAUUUACCUGCCACUUCCUCUUCGGCAUUCAUGGUGGAUGGUGCGUUGACAAGCGAAGUUCUGUGGGAGCAGUCGGUCUUCGGAGGUGUCGACAUGGGUCGAGAUGCGGUGUUUUUAUCUGUCGGGCAAGCACUUGUGCUUUGUAGUGUUGUAUGGUCGUUGGUGGCUUGGGUGUGGUGGUUGUGCUACACUCAUUAUUCGUAGCGAGUGAUAAUCUUUUUGUACAUAUAAUUCUGCCUUCUAUAAAGCUUUGGUACACCUAAGCAUACUCUCGAAGAAACUGUUGCUGAGUCACGUCGCACUCGUGGUAGCGAGCGAGUGUGGUAUGAUAACGCUGUUUGUGCUCGUGCCGUGCAACUCUCGUUCGUAGCUACUACUCCUAGAUGAGAAAUGGAGGAAUAUUCCGGAGAUAUUGCGGCGUACUCAUCCGAGACUCCGUGGAGAGCAGAGGACCCGCAUGUGCCAAUUAAGCUGCACAGGGCGGCGAGGAGAAUUCAUGUGCGGCUUUCGGAAUUCGGCAGUAGUAGUAUGCCAAAUUGCAGGAAGGCAGCAAGAACAUGUGGACGGAGACGGCAUGUGUGUGCGUGGGACACAUAUAUAAAUCAACCACACAACACAAGGAUGCCACUGCAGAUGGCAUAUGCUAGAUUUAAUUGCUUGUUGGAUUGCUAUUGGUUCGCGUCCCAACAAAAAUGCCGAGGAGAAGAACAAGAAUAAAGACAAGAGGAGCUACUGCUGUUAUUGCGGAGAUAAUUUUGUGUGUGUGUGUGUCAAAAUUGCAGAGAGAAUAUCUAUUGGCAUCUUAUUAUUGAGGAGCACUUUUUCUCGAAUUUCCAGAGGUGUAUUAUUCCUGGCUCUCAAUUGGUCGCGUUGUCCACAAAUAGUACAAAAUCAGUGCUCCAACAUAUGAAAUUUUC
rnacentral:rRNA from 1 species